AGACCCGAAACCCGGUGAUCUAGCCAUGGGCAGGUUGAAGGUUGGGUAACACUAACUGGAGGACCGAACCGACUAAUGUUGAAAAAUUAGCGGAUGACCUGUGGCUGGGGGUGAAAGGCCAAUCAAACCGGGAGAUAGCUGGUUCUCCCCGAAAGCUAUUUAGGUAGCGCCUCGUGAAUUCAUCUCCGGGGGUAGAGCACUGUUUCGGCUAGGGGGCCAUCCCGGCUUACCAACCCGAUGCAAACUGCGAAUACCGGAGAAUGUUAUCACGGGAGACACACGGCGGGUGCUAACGUCCGUCGUGAAGAGGGAAACAACCCAGACCGCCAGCUAAGGUCCCAAAGUCAUGGUUAAGUGGGAAACGAUGUGGGAAGGCCCAGACAGCCAGGAUGUUGGCUUAGAAGCAGCCAUCAUUUAAAGAAAGCGUAAUAGCUCACUGGUCGAGUCGGCCUGCGCGGAAGAUGUAACGGGGCUAAACCAUGCACCGAAGCUGCGGCAGCGACACUGUGUGUUGUUGGGUAGGGGAGCGUUCUGUAAGCCUGCGAAGGUG
rnacentral:rRNA from 2 species